rnacentral:miRNA from 4 species
UGAGAAGUUUUGAACAAGUAUA